rnacentral:rRNA from 1 species
AGUUUGAUCCUGGCUCAGAACGAACGCUGGCGGCAGGCUUAACACAUGCAAGUCGAGCGCCCCGCAAGGGGAGCGGCAGACGGGUGAGUAACGCGUGGGAAUCUACCCAUCACUACGGAACAACUCCGGGAAACUGGAGCUAAUACCGUAUACGUCCUUCGGGAGAAAGAUUUAUCGGUGAUGGAUGAGCCCGCGUUGGAUUAGCUAGUUGGUGGGGUAAAGGCCUACCAAGGCGACGAUCCAUAGCUGGUCUGAGAGGAUGAUCAGCCACACUGGGACUGAGACACGGCCCAGACUCCUACGGGAGGCAGCAGUGGGGAAUAUUGGACAAUGGGCGAAAGCCUGAUCCAGCCAUGCCGCGUGAGUGAUGAAGGCCCUAGGGUUGUAAAGCUCUUUCAACGGUGAAGAUAAUGACGGUAACCGUAGAAGAAGCCCCGGCUAACUUCGUGCCAGCAGCCGCGGUAAUACGAAGGGGGCUAGCGUUGUUCGGAUUUACUGGGCGUAAAGCGCACGUAGGCGGACUAUUAAGUCAGGGGUGAAAUCCCGGGGCUCAACCCCGGAACUGCCUUUGAUACUGGUAGUCUCGAGUCCGGAAGAGGUGAGUGGAAUUCCGAGUGUAGAGGUGAAAUUCGUAGAUAUUCGGAGGAACACCAGUGGCGAAGGCGGCUCACUGGUCCGGUACUGACGCUGAGGUGCGAAAGCGCGGGGAGCAAACAGGAUUAGAUACCCUGGUAGUCCACGCUGUAAACGAUGGAAGCUAGCCGUUGGCAG